AUGGUCGCAGCCGAUCAUGGUUCUCUAGGCGUCACGGCCUGGAGCUAAGAGGGAAUUCGGUGAGGCGCUUCGCGCCGAGGCCGAGGCUGCCCCCGCAACUGUAAGCGGCGAGCUCUCCACCCAUCGUCCACUGGCGCUCCGGCGCCGGGAAGGCCGGGCGGAACCAGCAUCGACCCGCGAGCCAGGAGACCUGCCCUGAUCAUCGGAAGGUC
rnacentral:ncRNA from 2 species